UACGUAGGGUGCAAGCGUUGUCCGGAAUUAUUGGGCGUAAAGAGCUCGUAGGCGGUUUGUCGCGUCUGCUGUGAAAACCCGAGGCUCAACCUCGGGCCUGCAGUGGGUACGGGCAGACUAGAGUGCGGUAGGGGAGAUUGGAAUUCCUGGUGUAGCGGUGAAAUGCGUAGAUAUCAGGAGGAACACCGGUGGCGAAGGCGCCUAUCUGGCCCGAUACUGACGCUGAGGCGCGAAAGCUAGGGGAGCAAACGGG
rnacentral:rRNA from 1 species